rnacentral:lncRNA from 1 species
AGAAUUAAGAUCUCUGGCUCAGAAGUCGAAUUGCAAUCCCGUUCAGCAAGUGGCGAGCGCUCAGUGACUCUGUUAAAACAUCAAUGCAUUGGGCCGUGAGGAGCAAGAAAGAGCCGAUGCUUGAGGCUGCAAACGAUCCAGAUCCAGUGAACGUGAAUGGAGUGAAUCUGUCUGAAUCCUAUGAUUUUUGGCAUCACAGGCUUCGCUGGGCUGGUGAAGCUCCCUCAGGCCUUUUACAGAAGUUCAGGAACUAUGAAAUAUAAAUGCAUAUUUUCUGUCGUUCUAUAUUCUUAUCCUAUUCUAUUCUUCCACAUAUAGAGGAAAGAAUCAGAACUGACCAGUCAUUUACUACACGUCACCAUUAUGCAUAACGUUGACUUGGGUCUGUUUUAGCUUGUUUUGUAGAAAGGUAAGAUAUGUUGACAUCAAUUUUCAGCAGUGAUGCUUUCUAUGCCUUAAAUGUCCAAUCAGAAGGAUUUUUUGUUGAAAUAUGAGUUUCAAGCCUGCAGAUUGGCACAAUAAAUGAUUAUAAAGUUUAUUUGAAUGAAUAUAAUGUGUAAUAAAUAAUGCAUUUUUAUGCAUAUAGCA